CUGGCCAUCGACGGUUGCAUUCAGCGCAAGGAUAAUUUCCGUCACGCGCGGAUCGAGCGCGCGCUGCACCAGUGCAUCGAUGGUCAGAUCCUGCGGGCCGACGCCGUCGAGUGGCGACAGCGUGGCGCCGAGCACGUGGUAAAAUNACCAUUUGUGGCAUGAGCGCGUUCAAGCGCCCACAAAUCCGCGACAUCCGCCACCACCACGAUGAUCGAGGGAUCGCGCCGUGCAUCGGUGCAGACCGUGCAGGGAUUCUGCGUAUCGAUAUUGCCGCAGGUGUUGCACACCUGGAUCUUCUCAAUCGCAACUUGCAAUGCCGCCGACAGCGGC
rnacentral:misc_RNA from 1 species